GACGUAGGGGGCGAGCGUUAUUCGGAAUUAUUGGGCGUAAAGAGCUCGUAGGCGGCCUGUUGCGUCCGCUGUGAAAGCCCGGGGCUUAACCCCGGGUCGGCAGUGGAUACGGGCAGGCUAGAGGUAGGUAGGGGAGAAUGGAAUUCCCGGUGUAGCGGUGAAAUGCGCAGAUAUCGGGAGGAACACCGGUGGCGAAGGCGGUUCUCUGGGCCUUACCUGACGCUGAGGAGCGAAAGCGUGGGGAGCGAACAGG
rnacentral:rRNA from 1 species